rnacentral:rRNA from 1 species
UAAACGACUCUCGGCAACGGAUAUCUCGCGUCUCGCAUCGAUGAAGAACGUAGCGAAAUGCGAUACUUGGUGUGAAUUGCAGAAUCCCGUGAACCAUCGAGUCUUUGAACGCAAGUUGCGCCCGAAGCCAUUAGGCCGAGGGCACGUCUGCCUGGCGUCACGCA